UACGUAGGGUGCAAGCGUUGUCCGGAAUUAUUGGGCGUAAAGAGCUCGUAGGCGGUCUGUCGCGUCUGCUGUGAAAACUCAGGGCUUAACCCUGAGCUUGCAGUGGGUACGGGCAGACUAGAGUGCGGUAGGGGAGACUGGAAUUCCUGGUGUAGCGGUGAAAUGCGCAGAUAUCAGGAGGAACACCGGUGGCGAAGGCGGGUCUCUGGGCAACAACUGACGCUGGAGGAGCGAAAGCGUGGGGAGCGAACAGG
rnacentral:rRNA from 1 species